AGUCUCUGAAUGUUGUUUUUCAUGGCUUUCAGAAUUUUGAUUGGCUUUGCCAGCAGCUCAUUUGGACACUGCCUCAGUGAGCAUGUCUUCUGUUGGAAAAUCUGUUACAUCAUUCUUCCUUGGGUCUCCCUGAAUCAAGGCUGUGCAGACCAUUAGCUCAUAAAGUGUGCUGAAGUUUAUAUACUGUGGGUACAAGGAAGGGAAAUGUUUAGUGGGUAACACGCUACAUAAGCAAAAAUGGUACGGCUCCCCAGCAAACUAGAUGUGUGCUUUAUGUCCUUAAGAAAGCUCUGGUGCCUGGCCGGGGCUGUGCCCUUCUUGAUUGCCAACUGUUUUAUCAAUCAAUUCGAUGACUGGUGGGCUAGGUUGAUGCAAAUGGCCAUGAAUACAUAGUGUAUACCCAGGCUACCUAUUGGCCCUCAGGCUGGAUUUUUUAAAAUUUAAAUCUUGUGAAUUUGAUAUUGCUUGUGUGGAGUGAUCAAUACUUUCUCUAUAGAAAUGCGUGGCCCUGUAGCCCGCCGUGAGUUCAGUGGCUAUGAUUAAGGGUGGCUCUCUUGCACCUUUGACUUUUCAGGAGGCAGGUGGCUUGUUCCUGCAUGUAGAGACUUGUAGACAGACAGCAAGGCUGGUGGGGAAUUAAUUGUUUGUUGUUGUUAUUUCUAUUUUUGCAUAUGUUGCUGUGAUAGUAAUCUUUUUGGACAUUCUUCUACUGUCUGAGGUCAAGGUUAUCUUUUGUGGCCACAGUGUUGCUUUCUGACAUAAAAUUCUUGUAGGUGGUUUUGUUUGUUUGUUUGUUUGUUUGUUUGCCUUUUGAAGUACUCGAGAUUGACCCUAGGGCCUUGUAAAUUCGAGGAGAGUGCUGUACCACUGAGCUAUAUCCCCAACUUCUCAGCUAUGCAAGUCACUGCACUACUUGAGUAUUUCACAGGUCCAGGUUCUAAGUUAGAUAUGUAGCACACAGUAUCUUUUUUUAGCACACAGUAUCUUAUUUAAUGCUCAGCAUAAGCAUCUAAUUGCAUCUUAAUUCACCCUUGCUCGGAGCUGGGACACAUUCCUUGUCCUUGUUUUAUAGAUGUGCCUUCAGGAGUUUAACUCUUUGUUUCAACAUUUCUAAAUGACAAAAAUCACUGAAGGUCCAGUGGUUUAGCUCUGUCAGCCUCAAGAAGUGUGGGUUCAAACUGGUGCUCUUAAUUCACCCAAGGCUACUUUCUCUUUGCCUCAUAGAAGGUGAAUUCUAGAGUCAUUGAACAAAUGUAUUUUCUCAGAUACAUACACUUUUCAGCAGACAGAUUAGCCUCAGGGCCACAUAGCGUGUGACUCCUAAAGAAUUCCAUGGUACAUUGUGAGCUGCUUGAAAAAUAUUUCUGAAAUUUUACUUGACAUCUUAAGUACCACCCACAGCACUAGAAGUUAAAAUACCAAGUUUGUGAUCUAACUACGCUUUAACAGGGUCCAAGCAUAGCUUCACUUUUACAAAACCCAUCUCCACCAAACCCUUCCACCCAUAGUGCUUGCUUUAAUUUUUUAAAAAUAGAACUUUUCCACUUUUUUUUUCAUAACUGGUACUAUAGUGCAUUAGUCUGUCUCUAGCUUUGAGGUGUUUAUAGUUUACAUCACAUCUUGAAAGGAUUUGAGAUGGUGGUUAGUAAUACUAAACUAGAAUAUCCCAAAGCACAGUUUAGUUGCAGCAAUUAAGGCUGAUAAACCAGAGCCUACUUAUAAAUGCUUCCUCUGUCAGACAACGUGGAAGAGAUCCUAACUGGUCCCCCUCCCAAACUGCAUCUUCCGUACCAAUCUGAUAGCUUAAGGCUUAUCUUCCUGUAAACUAAUCAAGACCUACUAAAGCUUUAAAAACACCACCACCACAUUUCUUAUCUUUCUUUAAAAAUUCAGUAUAAAUAUUGCCAAAUACAUAUUAAUUAUAUAAGACUUUUCUGGUAUGUUCCUUUAAAAUGAUGCUAAUCAGCAAGAAUGUUAUUUCUAAUGAAUAGUUCCACAUUUAGAAGACUUUUUUUUUUCUUUUAAGUAUGUCUUGAAAAUUUUUGUCCUAAGAUUCAUAACCAACUUGGGGCAGCCUUAACAUAACAUUCUUUGCCUUUAUAUUGGGUCCAUAUAGAAGUCUUCAACUUUGUUAUUAUGAGUGGGUACCCAUUGACC
rnacentral:lncRNA from 1 species